GUUUGAUCCUGGCUCAAUUGAACGCUGGCGGCAGGCCUAACACAUGCAAGUCGAACGGUAACAGGAAGAAGCUUGCUUCUUUGCUGACGAGUGGCGGACGGGUGAGUAAUGUCUGGGAAACUGCCUGAUGGAGGGGGAUAACUACUGGAAACGGUAGCUAAUACCGCAUAACGUCGCAAGACCAAAGAGGGGGACCUUCGGGCCUCUUGCCAUCGGAUGUGCCCAGAUGGGACUAGCUAGUAGGUGGGGUAACGGCUCACCUAGGCGACGAUCCCUAGCUGGUCUGAGAGGAUGACCAGCCACACUGGGAAUGAGACACGGUUCCAGAACUCCUACGGGAGGCAGCAGUGGGGAAUAUUGCACAAUGGGCGCAGCCUGAUGCAGCCAUGCGCGUGUAUGAAGAAGGCCUUCGGGUUGUAAAGUACUUUCAGCGGGGAGGAAGGGAGUAAAGUUAAUACCUUUGCUCAUUGACGUUACCCGUUCAGAAAAGCACCGGCUAACUCCGUGCCAGCAGCCGCGGUAAUACGGAGGGUGCAAGCGUUAAUCGGAAUUACUGGGCGUAAAGCGCACCAGCGGUUUGUUAAGUCAUGUGAAAUCCCCGGGCUCAACCUGGGAACUGCAUCUGAUACUGGCAAGUUGAGUCUCGUAAGGGGGGUAGAAUCAGUGUACGGUGAAAUGCGUAGAGAUCGGAGGAAUACCGGUGGCGAGCGCCCCUGACAGACUGACCUCAGGUGCGAAGCGUGGGGAGCAACAGGAUUAGAUACCCUGUAUCACGCCGUAACGAUGUCACUUGGAGGUUGUGCCCUUGAGGCGUGCUUCCGACUAACGCUUAAAGUCGACCCCGAGGAGUACGGGCCCAAGUUAAAACUCACAUGAAUUGCACGGCCCCAAAGCGGUAGCAUGUCGGUUAAUUCUGCAACGUCGAGAUACCUUACCUGGUGCUUUGACAUCCACUAGACUAUUCAGUUGGAUUGUGCCUUUCUGAAUGCUGGACCAGGCUGCAUGGCAUGCUCGCAGCCUUUCGUGUGUGAAUGUGGUUAAAGAUCCCGCACUAGCGUCAACCUUAAUUUCCUUACGUUGCCGCGUCCGCCGGACUCGAAAGGAGACUGCCAGUGAUAAACUGGAGGAAGGUGGGGAUGACGUCAAGUCAUCAUGGCCCUUACGACCAGGGCUACACACGUGCUACAAUGGCGCAUACAAAGAGAAGCGACCUCGCGAGAGCAAGCGGACCUCAUAAAGUGCGUCGUAGUCCGGAUUGGAGUCUGCAACUCGACUCCAUGAAGUCGGAAUCGCUAGUAAUCGUGGAUCAGAAUGCCACGGUGAAUACGUUCCCGGGCCUUGUACACACCGCCCGUCACACCAUGGGAGUGGGUUGCAAAAGAAGUAGGUAGCUU
rnacentral:rRNA from 1 species